rnacentral:rRNA from 1 species
GGUCAAGCUACAAAGGGCGCAUGGUGAAUGCCUUGGCAUCAGGAGCCGAUGAAGGACGCGAUAAGCUGCGAUAAGCUUCGGGUAGACGCACAUAGUCAGAGAUCCGAAGAUUUCCGAAUGAGGAAACUCACAUGGGAAACCCCAUGUAUCAUAAAGUGAAUACAUAGCUUUAUGAAGGUAUACCCAGGGAACUGAAACAUCUAAGUACCUGGAGGAAGAGAAAGAAAAAUCGAUUUUCUUAGUAGCGGCGAGCGAAAAGGAAAGAGCCCAAACCAGAGAUUUAUCUCUGGGGUUGCGGACAGAACAUAACGAGAAAUCAUAGUUAAUUGAACACAACUGGAAAGUUGGACCACAGUGGGUAAUAGUCCCGUAAGUGAAAACUAUGAUAAUCAGUUCUGCACCAGAGUACCACGAGACACGUGAAACCUUGUGGGAAGCAGGGAGGACCACCUCCCAAGGCUAAAUACUACCUGAUGACCGAUAGUGAAGCAGUACCGUGAGGGAAAGGUGAAAAGAACCCCGGGAGGGGAGUGAAAUAGAACCUGAAACCAUGUGCCUACAACCGAUCAGAGCACCUUAUGUGUGUGAUGAUGUGCUUUUUGUAGAACGAGCCAACGAGUUACGGUAUGUAGCGAGGUUAAGUACUUAAGGUACGGAGCCGAAGGGAAACCGAGUCUUAAUAGGGCGACUAGUUGCAUGCUGUAGACCCGAAACCGGGUGACCUAUCCAUGGCCAGGUUGAAGCGAGGGUAAAACCUCGUGGAGGACCGAACCACGUUGCUGUUGAAAAAGCAUGGGAUGAGCUGUGGAUAGCGGAGAAAUUCCAAUCGAACUCGGAUAUAGCUGGUUCUCCUCGAAAUAGCUUUAGGGCUAGCGUCGGAAAAUGUGAGUAGUGGAGGUAGAGCACUGAAUAGGCUAGGGGGCAUAGCGCUUACCGAACCUUAUCAAACUCCGAAUGCCACAUACUAUCAGUCCGGCAGUCAGACUAUGAAAGAUAAGUUCCAUGGUCAAAAGGGAAACAGCCCAGAUCGUCAGCUAAGGUCCCAAAGUGUAAGUUAAGUGGAAAAGGAUGUGGGAUUUCUAAGACAACUAGGAUGUUGGCUUAGAAGCAGCCACUCAUUAAAAGAGUGCGUAAUAGCUCACUAGUCAAGAGAUCCUGCGCCGAAAAUGUCCGGGGCUCAAACUUACCACCGAAGCUACGGGUUCACGCAUUAGCGUGAGCGGUAGAGGAGCGUCGUAAUCGGGCUGAAGUCGUACCGUAAGGAGCGGUGGACUGAUUACGAGUGAGAAUGUUGGCAUUAGUAGCGAGAUGUAGGCGAGAAUCCUACAGGCCGAAUAUCUAAGGUUUCCUGAGUAAAGUUUGUCUUCUCAGGGUUAGUCGGGACCUAAGGCGAGGCCGAAAGGCGUAGUCGAUGGACAAUUGGUUGAUAUUCCAAUACCACUACAAUCGUUAUUAUCGAUGGUGUGACGGAGAAGGAUAGGAUGUGCUAGCUAUUGGAUGCUAGUCUAAGCGUUUAGGGAGUUGGGAUUGGCAAAUCCGUUCCAAUAAUUCUGAGGCGUGAUGGGGAAGGUUCUACGGAACCGAAGUAU